AUUGAACGCUGGCGGCAGGCCUAACACAUGCAAGUCGAACGAGUGGCGGACGGGUGAGUAAUGUCUGGGAAACUGCCCGAUGGAGGGGGACAACUACUGGAAACGGUAGCUAAUACCGCAUACCCUCGGAUGUGCCCAGAUGGGAUUAGCUAGUAGGUGGGGUAAAGGCUCACCUAGGCAACGAUCCCUAGCUGGUCCGAGAGGAUGACAAGCCACUCAGGAACAGAGAGAGGGAACAGACUCCUAGGGUGAGCAGCAGUAGGGACAAGUGCACAAUGAGCGCAAGCCUGAUGAAGACAUGCCGCGUGUAGGAAAAAAGCCUUCGAAUUGUAAAGUACUUUCAGCUGGGAGGCGUUACUCGCAGAAGAAGCACCGGCUGACUCCGUGCCAGCAACCGGUGUAAUAC
rnacentral:rRNA from 1 species